rnacentral:misc_RNA from 1 species
CCACCGGCAUGCAAUAGCACUAAAGUAGCUCAUGCAAUGUCCUCGUCGCAGUCUGAAGAGGUGAGCGCAGCGGUCAGGCCUCUCAGCACUGCCGUGCAGGAGGCGCUGCAGGCGCCCCAAGAUGCCCAACGGCAGCCGCAACUGCAAAGCCCGGCUGCACCAGCGUCCUAGUGUAGCCCCUCCCAAUCCUGGACGCUUGAUCUCGUGACUGAGCGCCUGCAGGCGUUCGAGAGCUUCAUCAUUCGACACACACGGGAGGAAUCCUCUGGAGCGUUCGCGGGGGCCUCAGGCCAACUCGGCGCGCGUGAAACGAGCGCCGCGCGGUACAUUCUGGCACCUGCCGGAACCGGCACCCUGGCCUUUUGUGGUCUGCUGAGUGCACAAAGGCUGGAAGUUCACCUCGACGCGCAAGGAACGGGCGGGGCGGCGGUGGAGCAGCGCCUCGUGCACCUGGAGGCAAAGCUGAAUGCCUUGAGAAAUGCAGUGGCGCAGGCGCCAGCUGAAGUCCCCCAUCGAAAACAUUUUUUUUUCCGCCGUGCAUGCAAAACUUGAGGCGAGAAUGUCAUCUGUAUGGGAGGUGGGCUCCUCCAGGAACGCAUUCGAAGACGCAGAUAUGUCGCUCAUCCAUAACGUGACGCGCGCGCUCGCCGCCAUGAACGAGCGAGUCAAACAGCAGCACGCGGAGUUGGCGCGAUGGCACCAGCAAAACUACGAGCAGAUGCGCACGAUGGUUAUGCAGGUCAACUGGCGUGAGGAGGACAACCGUCAACUGCGCGAUGCGCUGGCGAGCAUUCGACAGCAGCUCGGACGUGUUGGCGUGCGUGGCAACGUUCCUAUUCUGUGGUCACGCAGCGUAGAGUAAGGGACGACCGUUUGUGCAGUUGGAAAGAAAGCGCUGGCGGCACAUCUUUUUUCGUUUGUGUCCGCCCGACAACCACUCCUGCAAUCACUCUCUCUCACCCUUUGAUGACGGGAGGGAGGGAACACACCUCAGUGCGGUGGUGUAACAGAGCUCAGUGCCCCAGCCCUUCGGGUGCAUGGGAAGAAGCCAAGCAGCCCCUCCUCCAUCCCCUGCCAACGCAGCGCUGCACUUCCUCUGGUGCUGGCAGGGUCCACGUGCACACGACGUAGGGAAGCCAGUGCGCUGCAUCGCGACGGAUGUCGGCGGUGUGUCAGGUCCUGGAUGGCGUUGCGUCGGAGCGGCCUGCGGCAGUGCCGACGCGUCUGCGCGGCUCCAGUGCAUCCGUCACCCGGCCCUCACCACCGCCUGCUGGUGUGGGGAGCCUGAGCGUCACCCCCUCCCUCUCCGAGGAGGAAUGCCGCAGGUGGCGGCCGGCAUGAUGGGAGCGGCUGUGAGGCGGCCUGCGAGGCAGCGGGGGGGGGGGCGGGAGGAGGUCGGUGGAGCUUGAGGCAGGGGGGCCGUGCUCUCGGAUGGCUGAGUCGGCGCGUUGCCGCAAAGCGUGUGUGCCGCGCUGCGUCGCAGGACUCGGUGAGGCCUGUGGCCGGCCGGCGGUGACGCGGAGUGGAGUUUGGCUCGUGUAUGGCAGAGAAUGGGCACGUUGACGCACGGGGAUGUGGAAAACUUCUUCAUCCCUCCUGCCGUUU